GACGAACGCUGGCGGCGUGCCUAAUACAUGCAAGUAGAACGCUGAAGGCCUAGUUUGAUCUUCCGCGUGAGUUGCGAACGGGUGAGUAACGCGUAGGAAACCUGCCUGGUAGCGGGGUAUAACUGGUGGACACGAUAGCUAAUUCCGCAUAACAGUAGAUGAUGCAUGACAUUUGCUUAAAAGGUGCAAGUGAACCACUACCAGAUGGACCUUCGUUGUGUUGGGUAGUUGGUGGGGUAACGCCUCUCCAAGGCGUCGAUACAUAGCCGACCUGAGAGGGGGAGCGGGCCCGAUGGGAUGGAGAGACGGCCCAGACUCGUGCGGGAGGCAGCAGUAGGGAGUGUUGGGCAAGGGGCGGAAGUCGGACCGAGCAACGCCGCGUGAGUGAGGAACGUUUCCGGGGCGUAGAGGGCUGUCGUAAGGGAAGAACGAGUGUGAGAGUGGGAAGUUCACGCGGUGACGGUAGUGGACCAGAAAGGGACGGCUAACUACGUG
rnacentral:rRNA from 1 species